GUCUUCGUGGAGUAAUACGCAACUCGCUCCCUCCACGUUUUAUAUGCUCUCAUAUAUCAGGGAAAGUCGGUGGUUCGAAUCCGCCCGAAGACA